GAGAAUCUUUACGAGCUCUUCUUUGUGGUGAGGAACUGGCAGGACUGCAAGGAGGAAAAAGACAAACAGGCCGUCCUUGGGGCUGUGGCUGCCAUGAUGGCUGUCCUCCUGCAAGAGGGGCUGCACCGAGAGCACGUCUGGGAGCAGCUCCUCUGGCUCGUGCACCCAUGUCAGGAGGUCCAAGACACCUGCAGGAUGGCCAAGAGCCUCACUAUCUUCCUAGAGGCCUUAGAGGGAGUUGAGAGUGUAAUUCCAAAGGACAAGUUUCUGGACAUCAUCACUGCUGUGUUCUACCAGCUCUCUGAUGACACCAGCAGCACAGCGAGGCUGAUAGCUGAGAGCUGACCCACUGCAUACUGCUGCAGGUCCGAAUCUGCCCAGAGGAAAUGCUCCUGCUUCUGCAGUCACAGCUGGGUGAUGAGUGGGAGGCUGGAUAUGUGGUAACCCUGGGUCUGCUCAGUGCUCCAGUUUGCUCUGAUGAGCCUGUGAUGACAGAGAUGCUGCCCCAGGUUGCAGAGGCUGUGCAGCAUGGACUCCAGGACCCGGUUGACCCCUGCAGGUGAGGAGGGCUGUUCUGUAUUUCAUCAAGGAUCUGCUCAGUGCUAACACCCGGAGCUGCUCAGCUUGGGAUGUGGUGGGGCACAUCUUUAAUGAGUUCAGCCGCGCCACAGGAAGAAGGGCAGCUGGAGAACCUUUCUGCCCAGAAAGCCAAGGAAGAAGGAGCUCUCCAGGAGCUGUGCAUGGACAUCCUGGAGUCACUGGAUGGAUGUCUCUGUGAGAAGGAUGUCCAAACUCCUGUGGCUGCGGCUUCUGCUGUUUGUGGUGCCAGCCCAGUACACGAGCAUUCUGAUUCCAGUCUCCCAUUGUGUCCAAGCCCUGGCUGAAAGAGAGGACCUGACAGGAUGGCAGAUAGCAGAUCUGGAUCCUCAUUUUGUCAGCUCCAUGUUUCAAGGCCCACUGCUGACUCCCCAGACACUGCUGGCACGCCUGUUGGUGAGUAGAUGCUCCAGAGGCCAGUGCCAUGAGCCCCCAGGAGGAAGCAGCAUGGCCAUGGGCAAAGCUGUUGUCUGCUCCUUGCCCACCACGGUAGAGCCAAGCUGCUUCCCUCUGCUCUUGCUGCAGAAGUGACCCUGCUUCUCCUUGCUCUCGCUCAGAUGGUGGCAGGGAGCCCUGUUGCAGGCAGCAAACUCCAACUUGCUGCCUUACUGCUGAUGCAAAACCUCCACAGGAGGUUCCACAGAGCUGUGGGGGCCAUGUGGGCUGCUGAGAUCCCCCUGCUGCUGCAGUGUCUCCAAGGUAAAGCGCUGGUGGGGAGGGAGAGGCUGAGGCAGGGAAGGAGAGGGGAGUGAAAAUGCAGCUCUAUAGCAUGGCAGAGGGGAAGCGUUUCCUGCAGUCUGGUGCUUGCUCUGCUGCUGUUUCCAUUCCAGGGAGACAGCGCUGAGGCCC